rnacentral:misc_RNA from 1 species
GAGACGGCAAUAGUAGAAUAUUGGACACAUCUGAAGUCCGAAAAGAGAUGGAGGGUAUGCUCAAGUGCUCUGCCAAUUACGUUCCUCUCACUCCAAUCAGCUUCCUGGAGCGCUCGGCGAUUGUUUACCGAGACAGUGUCUCCGUCGUCUAUGGUGAUGUCAAGUACACCUGGAGAGAGACCCACCAGAGAUGCAUCAAGCUCGCCUCUGCUCUCGCCCAGCUCGGAGUUUCCCGUGGCGAUGUGGUUGCUGCAUUGGCCCCUAAUAUUCCUGCUUUGUAUGAGCUACAUUUUGGUGUUCCAAUGGCUGGGGCAGUUCUUUGUACGCUCAAUGUACGCCACGAUUCAGCAAUGGUAUCUGCGUUACUGAGACAUUCAGAGGCCAAAUUCAUUUUUGUGGAUUACCAAUUUCUCCAAAUUGCACAGGGAGCCCUUGAAAUACUGUCCAAGAUGGGGACCAAGCCACCACUUCUUGUCUUAGUCCAGGACAAUGAUCAACCAGCUCCCAUCUCCUCUUCUGGAAACUUGGAAUAUGAGAGUUUUUUAGCAAUGGGAAAACUAGACUUUGAGGUAAGACCAACUGAUGAAUGGGAUCCUAUAUCGCUUAAUUAUACCUCGGGAACCACAUCAAGUCCAAAAGGGGUGAUUUAUAGCCAUAGAGGUGCCUAUCUAAAUUCCCUUGCGGCAAUUCUUCUAAAUGAAAUGAGCUCAAUGCCUGUAUAUCUAUGGUGUGUUCCUAUGUUUCACUGCAAUGGGUGGUGCCUCACCUGGGCUGUAGCUGCUCAGGGAGGCAAAAAUAUCUGCCUAAGGAGCGUCUCUGCAAAAGGAAUAUUUGAAAGUAUUGCCCAGCACAAGGUGACCCACAUGGGUGGUGCCCCAACUGUUCUAAACAUGAUAAUAAAUGCACCUGCCGGUGACCGAAGGACUCUUCCAGGUAAGGUAUCUGUGAUGACUGGUGGUGCGCCGCCACCUCCAGAGGUACUUUUCAGGAUGGAAGAAGCAGGAUUUAAUGUGACACACUCAUAUGGUUUGACAGAAACAUAUGGUCCUGGGACAGUUUGCACUUGGAAACCUGAAUGGGCUUCCUUUCCUCGCCAUAUACAGGCGAAGAUCAAGGCUCGUCAGGGGGUGCAACAUCUUGGACUAGAGGAAAUUGAUAUAAAAGAUCCUGUCACCAUGAAAAGUGUACCACCGGAUGCAAAAACCAUGGGUGAAGUUAUGUUCAGAGGCAACACCGUAAUGAAUGGAUAUUUGAAAAACUUGAAAGCAACCCAAGAAGCAUUUCAUGGUGGGUGGUUUAGGAGUGGGGAUUUGGGGGUGAAACACCCUGAUGGUUACAUAGAGCUAAAGGAUCGAUCAAAGGAUAUUAUAAUUUCUGGGGGAGAAAACAUUAGCUCAAUUGAGGUGGAAGCUGCACUGUUUAGUCAUCCAGCAGUUCUUGAGGCAGCUGUUGUGGGAAGGCCUGAUGAUCACUGGGGGGAAACACCUUGUGCAUUUGUAAAGUUGAAGGAAGGUUUUAAUGCCAAUGCAGAGGAAAUUAUCAAGUAUUGUCGGGAUCACUUGCCUCGCUACAUGGCACCUCGAACUGUUGUCUUUGAGGAUCUGCCAAAGACUUCAACUGGCAAGGUACAGAAAUUUAUUCUAAGGAAAAAGGCUAAGGCCAUGGGAAGCCUUUCAAAGCAGAGCACCAGCAAACUGUAAAUCACCUGUAAUUGUAUGGUAACAAUUGUACUCUUAUUGUUUUGUUCUUCUGGAAUUCAGAUGGCCAUUGAAGAUUACAACUGUUAGUUGGUUGAAUAAGGUUUUGUAAUUAGAUAAUUUCUCCUGCCAACAGCCGAAUAUUUGGUAAUGAUUAUUUGAAUCCUUCCGCUACAAAUAGUAUAUGAUUCGAGGGUAUUAGCACAAAAUAGGGUGGAACUGUGCUAAUUUUGGAGUAGUUUUAUUAAUCCAGGAAUUUGAAGGCAGAUGUUGUGGGAAGACCUGAUAGGAUAACAACUGUCACUGGUAAUAUUAUAGUUUUUAACUUUAAAAUGUAAAAUAAAACUCCCUAAACUUUU